rnacentral:lncRNA from 1 species
CGACUAUAAAAUAUAGUUCUCUUCCGCAAUUUUCUUCGACCAUUAUGCCAAUAUAAAAUUAUAGAUAGAUAUUGGGUAAAGAACUGAAGAAGAAAGACAAGGAACAGUGCGGCAGGAUCUGCGGUGGGGAUUUGGACACUCAAUGAUCUUUACCGUUUGAGGGAAAGCCGACCAUUGAUGCGCACACCAAUGCAAUUGCUUCCCCUUUUUUCUUACAAAAUUUCUUUAAGUUAUAACUUCUAUAAUAAUAUGGUGUAAGACUAUAAGUGAUAACAACAUACGCAGAAGUAUUUUUAUACUCCAUAUAAUACUUUUGGUUUUGUGAUUAGUCAUGCACGUAGAAUAACAGUAUGCACUCACGAUCCCAAAAGCUUAAUUAUCGUGAAUACAUUUCAGUUUGAUCCAGGGUCCUCCUAUACUUUUUUUUUUUUUUUUUUUGUAACUGGGGUCCUCCUAUACUUGAUUAUUAGCAAUCUUUAUUUAUUGUUGAAUUCUCAUGUAUACGUUUUAAUUUUAUUCUAGUUUAAACAUCAUGAUGAGGACGGCAUCUAUUAUAUAUGAAUCUAAACUCUAAAACAAAUCCCAAAACUAGCAAAAUCAUGCAUAAUGCUUCAAUUUUAGCACAAAACUCACAAGUUCUUAAACUUUAUGUCUUUUGUCGGUUGGACUGAUAAACUCAAUCCAUGGCCAACCCUACAAUGCAAGUCAAUGCAUUCUAGUGAAAUCGAAUUCCGAUGAAGUGAUUGCAGAGAUGAACAUUUAAUUACUCGAGUACAAACAUUUUCUGAUUCUCAAAUUUGUGUUAUUAAUAUAUUUAAAGAUAAGUGGUAAAUAUAUAUUUUUCAAAAAGUGAUAAAUAU